rnacentral:lncRNA from 1 species
GAAGGUGUAUGUAGAGGAGGGGAGGAAUACGCUUCUUGAGGUGAUCAAAGAAUCAGGAAUGAAGAGAGAGAAAAGAACAAAUCAGGGCCAUGAAUCCCCUUCUGUCUGUUUCUGGCCCUGAGUCAACUUCACCAGUUCACAGGAAAGGAACAUGUAAUCUGGCCCCUAACAGACUGGAUACUUCCCGUACUUAUUGGGGAGGGCAGUCUACUUUAUUGAGUCCACCACUGAUACAGAUGCUACUCUCAUCUGGAAACACCUGCACAGACACUCCCAGGAAUAAUGUUUAAUCUGGGCACCUUUUGGCCCAGUCAAGUUGACACCUAAAAUUAACCAUCAUACUAUGUAAAUACUUU